GCAGCCGCGGUAAUACGGAGGAUGCAAGCGUUAUCCGGAUUUAUUGGGUUUAAAGGGUGCGUAGGCGGAUUAGUAAGUCAGUGGUCAAAACGGGUGGCUCAACCACCUGUCGCCAUUGAAACUGCCAGUCUUGAGUGAGCGAGAAGUAUGCGGAAUGCGUGGUGUAGCGGUGAAAUGCAUAGAUAUCACGCAGAACUCCGAUUGCGAAGGCAGCAUACCGGCGCUCAACUGACGCUGAAGCACGAAAGCGUGGGGAUCGAACAGGAUUAGAUACCCC
rnacentral:rRNA from 1 species